GCUAAAAUAUCUGGGCGCUCCCCUUCAAAAUGUGGAAAAUGUAUUUAAGGAACGAUAUGCCCCCGAUUGAAGGCAACAUCUUUUCCAAUUUGUAUGCGAUUCUUGAGUGGAAUACCUUAAACAUUAUUUGUUAAAUUUUCACUAUUUGAAAUCGCGAAAGUGUAUGGGAAUAACAAUAUGAGCCCAUGUGAAGGCUAUAAUCUUUGUCACAUUACAGCCCGUUGUGCCCAAUACUUCAAUAGAUUUCGUUAUCCACUCCUCGUAAGUUCUUUAUCAAGGAAUUUCUUUUUGGCUUUCAUUACAAUCAUUAUCUAUAGAAUGAUUAAUGGUAAGAGUUAAGUUUUAAAGCUUCCAACAGAAAUCGAAAGAUUCCCCUUUUAAAAGUGCAAUAUUAUAGACCCUUUUGCCUGUUUAUCAGGCUUGUAGCCAAGAAGUUCGUUUCAGUCCGUCAAUGUGAUCGAAAGCAUUUUUUUUCAUUCCCCAGACUUCCCCAGAGAAAAUUUUGUGAUAUUAAGAAAAACUUGUUAGAGUAGAAAAUAUUAUGAAUAACGAAUCUAUCCUAUCAUAUCACGAAUCGAAAUUUUAUGUGAACAUGAACAAUUUUUGCAGGUCUGUGACUGUUUAAUUGAUAAGAAGUGUCGUUAGUCGAAAGCAAGUUCAACUGAGUGUGCAAUCCAAUGCGUUAUCACUUUGAAAUGCGCAAGUGGACUGCAGGAAGCACGAUUGGGUUCCACAAGAAAUGCUCCCACCCGACUGAUAAGACUUAAAUGAAACACUCAGUUUUAUUUUUUCCACCGACAGAGACUCAUAGAAUUUAAGCACCUUGAAUUGAAGCUUGAGAAAAGAAAUUUCCAGAAAUUGAAACUACAGAAAACAAACAAAAUUAUAAUUUCCGGGGUGUUAGGUGUACCAUCGCCGGCAUUUCAUAUCAAUCAGUUAUAUGUCAGCUAUAGAAUAUAGUCGACCGAUCCCCGCCGUUUAUAUACUUUACUUAUAUUUACGUUUACUUAUAUACUGCCUGCAAACAAAAGAAGGAUGUAUGAAAAGUUUCAACUCGAUAGCUUUAAAACUGAGAGUCUACUUUGCGUAAAAACAGACGGACAUGAUCAAAACGACUCAGGAGGUGAUCCUGAUCAAGAAUAUAUAUACUUUAUAGGGUCGGAGAUGUCUCCUUCACUGCGUUGCACACUUUUGACCAAAAUUAUAAUACCCUCUGCAAGGGUAUAAAAAUAGCAAGGUUGUCCCAAUUUCGAUCGUUCAGUUAUAUGACAGCUAUAAGAAUAGGAUAUUUUGGCCAAAUAUAACAUAACGUGUUAGGUGUACCAUCGCCGGCAUUUCAUAUCAAUCAGUUAUAUGUCAGCUAUAGAAUAUAGUCGACCGAUCCCCGCCGUUCCGACUUAUAUACUGCCUGCAAACAAAAGAAGGAUGUAUGCAAAGUUUCAACUCGAUAGCUUUAAAACUGAGAGACUACUUUGCGUAAAAACAGACGGACAUGAUCAAAACGACUCAGGAGGUGAUCCUGAUCAAGAAUAUAUAUACUUUAUAGGGUCGGAGAUGUCUCCUUCACUGCGUUGCACACUUUUGACAUUUGAUAAAAAGAAAUUCCCACAUAUGUACAUACGUAUGUGUACAUAGCACCAAGCUUCACAGGGUCUUUAAAAUGAUAAAACUGAUGAAUGUGACGACCACGAGGAAGAGGAGUUCGAGACCACUGCUAUAUCCUCACCCAGAAGUGUCUGAGGCCCCACGGAUGUUUCUGAACAGUUCAGAUGACCAGUCCGGGGUGGUACCCAUCAAAGUUUGAGCCUCUUCUGGCAAAUGGCCAAAACCAAAAAAAAACUUAGGAUCUUUUAAUAUAGCAAGGUUGUGCCAUUUUAAUUGGAUCAUAAGUUAAUUAUAUGGCAGCUAUAAGAAACAGUCGGCUCAUCCUUAUGAAAUUUAUAAAUUUCCCAAAAGGGAAUCUGUACCAAGUCCCAUCUUUCUAACUUAAACAAGAAAGGAAAACUAACUUCGGGGGAGCCGAAGUUGAUAUACACUUGCAAUUAAGGUUGUUCCAUUUCUGAUCGUUCAUUUAUAUGGAGGCUAUAGGGUGCAGUUGGCCGAUCCUUAUGAAAUUUGGCAGAACAGAUUAUUUUGUUCAAAAUAGAAUCUGCACCAAGUCCCAUCUUUCUAACUUAAAAACAACAAAGUUAUUCCAAUUCCGAUCGUUCUACGACAGCUAUAGGGUAUAGUCGGCCAAUCCUUAAGAAAUUUUGCACAUAAGAUAUUUUGGUGUGGAAAGUCCCAACCCUCUAACUUAAAAAACACUAAAGUUAUGGCAUUUCCGAUCAAUCAGUUAUAUAGCAGCUAUAGGAUAUAGUCGACCGAUCCCGGCCAUUCCGACUUAUGUACUACGUGCAAGGAAAAGAAGGAUGUGUGCAAAGUUUCAACUCGAUAGCUUUAAAACUGAGAGACUAGUUUGCGUAGAAACGGACAGACAGACCGACGGACGGACAGACAGACGGACAGACGGACAUACUUAUAUCGACUCAGGAGGUGAUCCUGAUCAAGAAUAUAUAUACUUUAUAGGGUCGAAGAUGUCUCCUUCACUGCGUUGCACACUUUUGACCAAAAUUAUAAUACCCUCUGCAAGGGUAUAAAAAUAGCAAGGUUGUCCCAAUUUCGAUCGUUCAGUUAUAUGACAGCUAUAAGAAUAGGAUAUUUUGGCCAAAUAUAACAUAACGUGUUAGGUGUACCAUCGCCGGCAUUUCAUAUCAAUCAGUUAUAUGUCAGCUAUAGAAUAUAGUCGACCGAUCCCCGCCGUUCCGACUUAUAUACUGCCUGCAAACAAAAGAAGGAUGUAUGCAAAGUUUCAACUCGAUAGCUUUAAAACUGAGAGAUUACUUUGCGUAAAAACAGACGGACAUGCUCAAAACGACUCAGGAGGUGAUCCUGAUCAAGAAUAUAUAUACUUUAUAGGGUCGGAGAUGUCUCCUUCACUGCGUUGCACACUUUUGACAUUUGAUAAAAAGAAAUUCCCACAUAUGUACAUACGUAUGUGUACAUAACACCAAGCUUCACAGGUGCCUACAUUUGGAUUAAAUUGGUAGCUCGCCAAUUAUAAAAAAAAAACAUUUUUUUUCUUAAAAAAAAAAUUCUACUAUUCUACUAUUUAGACGUUUGUUCUUAAAGAAAGUGAAAUAGAUAUUUAAAAAACCUUUUCAACAGUGAUUAUAAAGUUAUGAAUUUUUAAAUUAACACAGUUUUUUUAAUUUUUUAACGUAAAAUUAAGGUUUUUAAAAAGUUGUAGAACAAAUGCUGCUUAUAUUUUAAUAACAAACAUCUCCAAUUUUUUCAGGAUUGCCAAGAACAGUGCAAACAGACAAACAGCCUUUAUUUGGAAAGAAUUGUAAAAAUCGAAUUUCUUGAAUAACUUUUGAACGAUACGAAUAAAGUUUUAUCUGGGGACUUAAAUGUCUCCACCAGCCCCAAUUUAGUGUUUCAAAAAUUUGUUUACUUUCACCCUGAUUUCUCCCAAACCAAAACUACUUUUGGAAAAUAUUCUGAUUAAAACAAUACCUUUCGAUUGGUGUAUAAUUCAUUUAGAUCGGUUGUCUACAGAAAAUUUUUAAUUCUUCGGCUAUAUAUAGAGUCUCCUCGCGCACGCCAAGGCAUGCAGGUCGUCACCUCUUGGACAGCCUUCCACAGUGAUUGUUGGCCGAUCCUUAUGAGAAUUUCACUAUCACAUCAUUUUUCUUAUAAAAAUUGGAAACUGCGCCAAGCAUCUUUUAAAAUAGCAAGGUUGUGCCAUUUCCGAUCGUUCAGUUACAUGGGAGCUCUAGAAUAUAGUCGUCCGAUCCUUAUGAAAUUUGGCGGAUUGGAUUAGGCUUCUCAGAAUAAAAAUUUAAUUUCUCAAUUUAAAAGUAAAGCAGGGUCUGAUGAGUGUGACGACCACGUGGAAGAGGAGUUCGAGACCACUGCUAUAUCCUCACCCAGAAGUCUCUGAGGCUCCAGGGAUGUUUCUGAACAGUUCAGUUCAGACAGUUCUGAACAGUUCAGAUGACCAGUCCGGCGUGGUAACCAUAAAAUUUGGAGCCUCGUCUGACAAAUGGCCAAAACCAAAAAAAAAAGACCAAGGAUCUUUUAAUAUAGCAAGGUUGUGCCAUUUUAAUUGGAUUAUAAGUUGGCAGCUAUAAGAUACAGCCGGCAGAUCUUAUGUUAUAUAA